AUCGAACGCUGGCGGAAUGCUUUACACAUGCAAGUCGAACGGCAGCACGGGGGCAACCCUGGUGGCGAGUGGCGAACGGGUGAGUAAUACAUCGGAACGUGCCCAGUCGUGGGGGAUAACGUAGCGAAAGUUACGCUAAUACCGCAUACGAUCUACGGAUGAAAGCGGGGGAUCGCAAGACCUCGCGCGAUUGGAGCGGCCGAUGUCAGAUUAGGUAGUUGGUGGGGUAAAGGCCUACCAAGCCGACGAUCUGUAGCUGGUCUGAGAGGACGACCAGCCACACUGGGACUGAGACACGGCCCAGACUCCUACGGGAGGCAGCAGUGGGGAAUUUUGGACAAUGGGCGCAAGCCUGAUCCAGCCAUUCCGCGUGCAGGAAGAAGGCCUUCGGGUUGUAAACUGCUUUUGUACGGAACGAAACGCGCUGAGCUAAUACCUCGGCGUAAUGACGGUACCGUAAGAAUAAGCACCGGCUAACUACGUGCCAGCAGCCGCAGUAAUAC
rnacentral:rRNA from 1 species